AAGGUUUUAAGUUAAUAUUAAACUAAUAUCCUUCAAAGCUAUAAAUAAAGAUUGAAAUUCUUUAAGCCUUA
rnacentral:tRNA from 1 species